AGGACGAACGCUGGCGGCGUGCUUAACACAUGCAAGUCGAGCGGAAAGGCCCUUCGGGGUACUCGAGCGGCGAACGGGUGAGUAACACGUGAGCAACCUGCCCCUAGCUCUGGGAUAGCUCCGGGAAACCGGGAUUAAUACCAGAUACGACCACUUUAGACAUCUGCUGUGGUGGAAAGGAUUCCGGCUAGGGAUGGGCUCGCGGCCUAUCAGCUUGUUGGUGGAGUAACGGCCCACCAAGGCGACGACGGGUAGCCGGCCUGAGAGGGCGACCGGCCACACUGGGACUGAGACACGGCCCAGACUCCUACGGGAGGCAGCAGUGGGGAAUAUUGCGCAAUGGGCGAAAAGCCUGACGCAGCGACGCCGCGUGGGGGAUGAAGGCCUUCGGUUGUAACCCCUUUCAGCAGGGACGAAGCGAAAGUGACGGUACCUGCAGAAGAAGCGCCGGCUAACUACGUGCCAGCAGCCGC
rnacentral:rRNA from 1 species